CGUCUCCUUAACAAUCUCCCGAAAUUGGAGCAUCUUUUGUGUCGGCAAACGCAUAAAACCCUUUAAAGAAGAGUGGGCCGCCGUCGCUCGUCUGGUGUCGGAGGAGCGCGCGAGACGGCGAGCCCCGUUUUCCCGAGCGCGCGGCGCGGGCGGGAAGCGCGAGAUGCCGAGGACGCGGGUAGCGGCGACUCACGCAGGACCGCCGAGGAGCCUGUGGGCUCGCAUGGGUUUUGACACGGACGUCCCGCUGUGCGUUGGCGACGUUCCUCGAGUGUAAGGUCACCCUGUGGACGGACAUCUCAAAGACAAGUGGGAAGGAUGGUCCCGCUCUUCAGUCAUCCCUGCUCUACCGACCUGCUGGCUUUUGAGUGUUCAGAAGGGGACACACUAAACCCAGAUGCAGGAUCCGUGUCUGAGCGCGGCGCCCGCUGCACGCUGAGAAGGGUGGGACCGUAGAGCUGCCUCUCUGUGAGACGGAGUCGGCGGCCCGUCGCUGUGAAGCAUAAGAGGCCAGUGGUUCCCGAGUGCAGAGCUGCGAGAGAUAACCAUGGCAACAGCAGCAUUCUGUCAGUCGGCCUGUUUGAAGAAUUGAGCACUUUGAUUUGUCAUCCUCAAAUACCAAGGUGCAACAGAAGAGCAGCGGGUCCCUUUUCUCCAGCAAAGGGUGCUUUAAUGUGUAUGUACAAGUAUUACUAAAUCUGGGAUUGGGAUUAAUACACACGUUACGUAAGAAGUAAGGGAAAACAACCCUGGCAAUGCCGUGUCGCCGCUGUCGGACAGAAUGACCCACGUGCAAACCAAGAAGCUUUCAUAGAUGCGUUCUUCAUAAAUUGCGCUUACCAGAAGUCAUCUGAUCACAUUUUUUUGCAGGUUGAUUAAGGAGCAGUUUUGGUUUCCCAGUUUUUGCCCUGUACGUCACAUCGUGACUGUGAGACAUAUAAGGCUCUUCUCUACACCCACCUCCCAGCUUCCACUGUAGCAUUCUCCAUUAGUUGGCUGCGACAAUGGAGUAAAUUCCUAAUGUUUUACUGUAGUCGGGUGAUAUGGUGCAAUGAGGACAAUUCUCCUGGACUGUGAACUGUGCUGUGAUGAACCUCAAGGCUGAAAGUUUACUCUACAAAUCUGCCCUUAAGGAUAAUUGAGCAACAUCUUCCUGUGUGGAAGUUAAAACAAAUGGGGUAAAGGGAGACUGAAAAGACAUCUUCUGUGACUGAGUCCUCAAUCCAAAAACAAACUGCUCAGUCUUCAGUUGAUAUUUGCAGUUUAUAUAACAUACU
rnacentral:lncRNA from 1 species